AUGAACGCUGGCGGCGUGCCUAAUACAUGCAAGUCGAGCGAACAGACGAGGAGCUUGCUCCUCUGACGUUAGCGGCGGACGGGUGAGUAACACGUGGAUAACCUACCUAUAAGACUGGGAUAACUUCGGGAAACCGGAGCUAAUACCGGAUAAUAUAUUGAACCGCAUGGUUCAAUAGUGAAAGACGGUUUUGCUGUCACUUAUAGAUGGAUCCGCGCCGCAUUAGCUAGUUGGUAUGGUAACGGCUUACCAAGGCAACGAUGCGUAGCCGACCUGAGAGGGUGAUCGGCCACACUGGAACUGAGACACGGUCCAGACUCCUACGGGAGGCAGCAGUAGGGAAUCUUCCGCAAUGGGCGAAAGCCUGACGGAGCAACGCCGCGUGAGUGAUGAAGGUCUUCGGAUCGUAAAACUCUGUUAUUAGGGAAGAACAAAUGUGUAAGUAACUAUGCACGUCUUGACGGUACCUAAUCAGAAAGCCACGGCUAACUACGUG
rnacentral:rRNA from 1 species